rnacentral:rRNA from 1 species
CCUACGGGGGGCUGCAGUCGAGAAUCAUUCACAAUGGGGGAAACCCUGAUGGGGCGACGCCGCGUGGGGGAAUGAAGGUCUUCGGAUUGUAAACCCCUGUCAUGUGGGAGCAAAUUAAAAAGAUAGUACCACAAGAGGAAGAGACGGCUAACUCUGUGCCAGCAGCCGCGGUAAUACAGAGGUCUCAAGCGUUGUUCGGAAUCACUGGGCGUAAAGCGUGCGUAGGCUGUUUCGUAAGUCGUGUGUGAAAGGGGCGGGCUCAACCCGCGGACGGCACAUGAUACUGCGAGACUAGAGUAAUGGAGGGGGAACCGGAAUUCUCGGUGUAGCAGUGAAAUGCGUAGAUAUCGAGAGGAACACUCGUGGCGAAGGCGGGUUCCUGGACAUUAACUGACGCUGAGGCACGAAGGCCAGGGGAGCGAAAGGGAUUAGAUACCCUUGUAGUC